UACGAAGGGGGCUAGCGUUGCUCGGAAUCACUGGGCGUAAAGCGCACGUAGGCGGAUUGCUAAGUCAGGGGUGAAAUCCUGGAGCUCAACUCCAGAACUGCCCUUGAUACUGGCGGUCUCGAGUCCGGGAGAGGUGAGUGGAACUGCGAGUGUAGAGGUGAAAUUCGUAGAUAUUCGCAAGAACACCAGUGGCGAAGGCGACUCACUGGCCCGAUACUGACGCUGAGGCACGAAAGCGUGGGGAGCAAACAGG
rnacentral:rRNA from 1 species